rnacentral:rRNA from 1 species
UAGGGAAUUUUCCACAAUGGGCGAAAGCCUGAUGGAGCAACGCCGCGUGCAGGAUGAAUGCCUUCGGGUUGUAAACUGCUUUUAUAUGUGACGAAUAUGACGGUAGCAUAUGAAUAAGGAUCGGCUAACUCCGUGCCAGCAGCCGCGGUCAUACGGAGGAUCCAAGCGUUAUCCGGAAUUACUGGGCGUAAAGAGUUGCGUAGGUGGCAUAGUAAGUAGAUAGUGAAAUCGUGUGGCUCAACCAUGCUCACAUUAUCUAAACUGCUAGGCUUGAGGACGAGAGAGGUACCUGGAAUUCCCAGUGUAGGAGUGAAAUCCGUAGAUAUUGGGAGGAACACCGAUGGCGUAGGCAGGGUACUGGCUCGUUCCUGACACUAAGGCACGAAAGCGUGGGGAGCAAACGGG